GCUGCAACUCGCCUGUAUGAAGUCGGAAUUGCUAGUAAUCGCGGAUCAGCAUGCCGCGGUGAAUACGUUCCCGGGCCUUGUACACACCGCCCGUCACACCAUGAGAGCCGGGAACACCCGAAGUCCGUAGUCUAACCGUAAGGAGGACGCGGCCGAAGGUGGGUUUGGUAAUUGGGGUGAAGUCGUAACAAGGUAGC
rnacentral:rRNA from 1 species